AGGGGGGUGGGUGUUGGUGAGCUUACGUACGUACGUACAGACCGAGGUACCCCUACUCGGCAUUGGGAAUCCGAAUGUGGGAUGCGAACGUGGGAUGCGAACAGGUUACCGACACUAGCGAUGUCCGACCGUACUGUCGCCGGUACCAUCGCCGGAAAAAUUUUCCGGCGACUUUUCCGGCGGUCGGUUCUGUUGCCUUUUUCGGAUUUUCUCAGGAUUUCUCGACGAAAGAUGGUGAAUGGUCUCGGGGAAUGGGCGUGUCAUGCAUGGGCUGACAUGGAUUCUUCGAGGCCGAUGGGUGGCGGUAUACAUUCGGAGGGAGUAUCACCGAGAUGUCCCCAUGGGCAUCGUCACCACCCGGUAGAUUGCGAUACCGAAAGAGUGCUGGUCCGUUGAUGCGAGAGAGUCUCCUAUGCACUUUGUCCGUCUCCUGGUACGACCCGAGUGGCACUGACCGCAUUGACUCUCUUUGUUAAACCUCGCAGUUACUCGAUAAGGUAUUCGCAAUCUACCGCCGAAGCGGAUGGGCGUGCUUCGUUGGAAAGCAUGGAUCCGCCUAGGCUGUCCCGGGGGGUGAGCGGGGUGAAGGUGUCGCCCAUGGGCAUCAUUCCGAUUCGCGGCUUUGGGCUGAAACGGGAAGGAUUGCGAUAACGANGGAUGACCCUUUCUGAACAUUCGAGUUCUCCUAGGCGAUUCCGAGUUUGAGUUCUCCUUUCCGCAAAUGUUUGAGGCAACCAUCUUUUGAUGGGAGUCGGCUAUUCUAUAGCCGGCCAAGGGUAAUUAUUUACCCUUGUGCCGAAGCGGAUGGGCGUGCUUCGUCGGAAAGCAUGGAUGCCGCCUAGGCUGUCCCGGGGUGAGCGAGGUGAAGGUGUUGGCCGUGGGCAUCAUUCGCACUCGCGGCUUUGGGCUGAAACGGGAAGGAUUGCGAUAACGAANGAUGACCCUUUCUGAACGUUCGAGUUCUCCUGGGCGAUUCCGAGUUUGAGUUCUCCUUUCCGUGAAUGUUCGAGGCAACCAUCUUUUGAUGGGAGUCGGCUAUUCUAUAGCCGGCCAAUGGGUAAUUAUUUACUCAAGUGCCAAAGCGGAUGGGCGUGCUUCGUCGGAAAGCAUGGAUGCCGCCUAGGCUGUCCCGGGGUGAGCGAGGUGAAGGUGUCGGCCGUGGGCAUCAUUCGCACUCGCGGCCUUGGGCUGAAACGGGAAGGAUUGCGAUAACGAAGGAUGACUCUUUCUGAACGUUCGAGUUCUCCUUGGCGAUUCCAAGUUUGAAUUCUCCUUUCCGCGAAUGUUCGAGGCAACCAUCUUUUGAUGAGAGUGCUGAAGCAAGGUGAAUGAUGUUCGCUUUCAUAGGUUUGGCUUUUCGCGCUUGUGCGGCUUUGUCUUGGAUUCGUCCGUCUUUUCUCUGCUCGACCGAAUACUUCGGAAAAGUUGGGGAAAGAUUGAUGAUUUUGGGUCAAUUGAACGUUCGGCGUAUGAGUGGUGAUCGGAUAGCUAGUGUUUGUAGGCUCCGUGCUUGCGCAUCGAACUACUUACCACCUAUCCUUCUCAUUUGCUUCACGAGUGAUGUUUCGCUCCGUGAUCGGAUUUGGGGCCUGUGUUGCGUACCUAUCUUAGAGGGUAUUGUUGAGUUUGGUUGCCACCCUUGUCCGCGGCAUCUUCUUUGCGGAGAAAUCGUGGGCACAAAACUCGGCGCUUGUUCUCCUUUCGGCAUUGCAUCAUUUGCCUUGUUCGCAUUGGUGAAUAAGUUGCCGGUUGAAAUCUCGGAUGCGGAAAAGUUAAGGACGGUGACUCGAAGUGAUUCAGUCCCGCCAAAGCACAUCUGUCCCUCGGGCAAAAGAUGACGGUCGAGACCCCGUCCGUUCUCUCUAUACUUUGUGUUANGGAGUACGUGUCAGGGAAUUGUCGUGAUCGAUGAAUGC
rnacentral:misc_RNA from 1 species